rnacentral:rRNA from 1 species
UGGAAGCGUCUGGAAAGGCGCGCGAUACAGGGUGACAGCCCCGUACACAAAAAUGCACAUAUUGUGAGCUCGAUGAGUAGGGCGGGACACGUGGUAUCCUGUCUGAAUAUGGGGGGACCAUCCUCCAAGGCUAAAUACUCCUGACUGACCGAUAGUGAACCAGUACCGUGAGGGAAAGGCGAAAAGAACCCCGGCGAGGGGAGUGAAAAAGAACCUGAAACCGUGUACGUACAAGCAGUGGGAGCCUCUUUUAUGGGGUGACUGCGUACCUUUUGUAUAAUGGGUCAGCGACUUAUAUUCUGUAGCAAGGUUAACCGAAUAGGGGAGCCGAAGGGAAACCGAGUCUUAACUGGGCGUUAAGUUGCAGGGUAUAGACCCGAAACCCGGUGAUCUAGCCAUGGGCAGGUUGAAGGUUGGGUAACACUAACUGGAGGACCGAACCGACUAAUGUUGAAAAAUUAGCGGAUGACUUGUGGCUGGGGGUGAAAGGCCAAUCAAACCGGGAGAUAGCUGGUUCUCCCCGAAAGCU